CCUAGCUCAACUGAAAUUAAACUUUCCAUGGCAUACCAGAGCGCCUACAAUAUGAAUUACCAGAUACUACUAUGCUUGAUACUCUUCUCCCUAGGCCUUCUCCUACCACUGCCAUCCCAUUCUGCUGAUCCAAGCCCACUGCAAGAUUUCUGCGUUGCAGAUCUUGAUUCCUCUUUAUUCAUUAAUGGCUUUCCGUGCAAAAACCCUGAUAACGUAUCUUCACAAGACUUCUUCGCCAAUGGGUUCCAACAAAGUCCAGGAGAAUUCAAUAUUUUCGACGUCAAUGUCACUCGGCAAGAUGUUCAUCGAUUUCCAGGACUCAACACUCUAGGGCUGUCAAUGAACCGAGUGGUUUUGAAGCCUGGAGGGCUGAAUGCACCCCACGUCCACCCUCGUGCAGCCGAGCUGGCUCUAGUCAUGGAUGGAAAACUGUUUGUAGGCUUUGUGACAACCGGAAACGUUUUCUACUGGAAAAUUGUGACUUCAGGAGAGUUGUUUGUGAUUCCUCCUGGGCUAGUGCACUUCCAACUGAAUAUUGGACACGAGAACGCACGCUUCUUCGCCUCGUUCAACAGUCAAAAUCCAGGGAUUCAGUUCGCCCCCCUUGCUCUUUUUAACUCCACGCCUUCGAUUCCUGAUCUCGUGUUGAGUAAAGCAUUUCAAGUAAAUCAAAGUAUCAUUGAGCUCAUUAAGUCUAGGUUUGCAACUGUGUCGACUGUGUCGACCGUGCUUAAGUCAUCUUACUAACAUCGUAUUCCAGGGUGUUGUUCAUUAUAGUUGGCAUAUUAAAUAAUAAAAACUUCUAUAUUAUUGUUUAAUUGUAUUUUGGUCAAGUUAAUUUUUAGUAGUUUUAUUGGCGUCAAAUUAGGAUAGUUUUACUAUUUAGAAACUAGUAUUGUAUUAAGUAAUUUCUUAUGGUUGUCAGUAGUCUGGUGUCGGAUUUAGUUGGAAACAAUAAAAGUUUGAGUCUUGUUAUUGAUAUUAGUCCUCUUCAUGUAAAUUAGCCUCCAUAUAUAUAUAUAUAUAUAUAUUAUAUUUAUAUUUAUAUUGGUUUUGUGAAAGUUAUCUCCUAUAUUUUUUUUGGGUAUAAUUAUUAGGCUCUACAUCUGGUAUCGGAUCCUAUUUGCAUGAAAUUAAUCUUUGGGUGAGUUGUCAGAGUUAGGACACAAGAUUUGCCGGGACCGUUCAAUUGAUCACGUAGGGCCAUUAUGUUGGUUUUGGAGUAUUUAAUUGGUGAAAAUUAGACCAUAAAAUUGGUGUGAAAAUUAUUAACUUGAUUGUGGAUAUUGCUAAUGGUGACAGUUUUUGACAUGGUACGUAAACACGGCACAAAAAAUCCUAAAUGAAACAUGAUACGGAAUAAUUUAUGUUAAAAAUGAAUCCACACGAACAUGACACGCAAACAGAAGGGUUGUAUUGGGCCAAUCCGUAGGUUGAUAUGACUAACAUGUUUUUGACACGUUAAGAAUUUUGAAAAAAUGCUACUUGCUUCCAUCCUAAUACUGCACUUAAAAUAAAUGGUUUUGUAUUAAAUUUUAUAGUUUAAGAACUAAAAUAAUAUAAUCAACUUCCUAUAAGAAUACAUAAACAACACAUAAAUCGAGACUCUGCAAAUUCACAUAUGCAACUGUUAUGAUUUUAAUUUUUUGCUUCCUUCCUUUAAUAUUCUUAUUUUCUCAAAUUGACAAGCAUAAACAACCUCUAUGAUUUUAACUUUUCACUUCCUGCCUUCACUCUUCAAAUUGAUCGAAACUUACCUUUAGAUCAAAUAUUGCUCAAUUUUUCUUCCUUUCUUGUGAUUAAAUAUCUUUUCUAGGUAAACUUUAAUAUUUCACAAAUUUUCUAUCAUUUUUGUCUAUUUUAUUUGAACAUUUUCUAGUUUAUACUGCUCCUUUAUUUUAUCAUUUUCCCUAUCAUUUUCUUUCUUGUGAAAGAAAAAUAAAAUAGGCUUUUUUCUGUAUAUUAUUAAUGAGAUAAUCAUGCAUCCAAAACUUACACAAGUAAAAAUCCAAUGACAGGCUACAGCCAAAUUAGAUUAAGAGAAUAUUACAUAUAUUCUUGAAAGAGAACCAUGUUUUAUUUUUUGGCAAUAUUUCUCCUAUAAUUUUUAUAUAAAAAGUUAAAUGAGUCAAUUGGGUCAAAACAUGUGAUGAACCUGUCCAAAUGUGUGGAGAAUUGCAGCUUAAAAAUGUUUUUGAAGAUUAAGAAUUCAAAUUUAUAUUAAUGAAAUUUACAAAUGAGAUUAUUAUUGCUAAACUUGAUUCAAUAGAGAGCUUGAUUUAAGGGAAACAAUGUUGGCAUAUUAAAUUAUAGCUAAAAAUUUGAAUUUUCUAUACUAUUAUUUAGUAGCAUUUUGGUCACACAAAUUUUUUUAGUAGUUCUAUGAGAGCUAAGUUAUGGUAGUAUAUUUAAGAAUUGGAAGCUCUAGGACAUAGAGGUUCUGGGUUCAAAUCUCCAUUCCUCCUCCCCAUUUCUUAAAUCCUAUCCCUCCCCUUGAUUAGAAAAAAUUAAAGAAAAGGUUAAAAUAAUUAUUUAGAAAUUGGUACUGUAUUAGAUAAUUAUUGUAGUUAUCAAUACUUGUUUAUCAAAUCAUGUAAUCUGUAAGUAGAGUCAUAUUACCAUACCCACUUGAGAAGAUUGGAAGUUUAAUAGCCUUGUUGUUGUGGUGUUAUUAAUAUUAUAUUAUUAAUAUCAUUGUUCUUUUCUCGCAUAUACGUGUAUAUGUGUAAAUUAGCCUCCCAUAUACAUUGGGUUUGUGGAAUUUAUCUCUCAUAAUGAUUUUUUGGGUAUAAUUGUCAGGCCCCGUUCCCAGAAUGUAGCACCAUCACGCCCUAGACAAUGCUAAAGGCGUAAGGCAACAAAUUUCCAAAGCAACUACAUUUACCUUUAUAUAAACUUUUUAAAUCCGCAAAUACAAGAUCAUCUAUAACAGCAAUUUUGUGUCUUCCAAAAUAAAAGAAAGAUCAAACCUUCUACAAUAUGUACAAUAUUCAAAUCCUAUCAUAAGGUAUCUUAUAUAUAAGUACAAAAGUUAUCCUCCAACCCAAAGUCAUCUCCAUCUCCAUUACAACCCCCAAGAGCUAUCAAGGUUUACUUCAAUGAACUCAUCAUUAACUGCAUAAUUAUAACAAAGGGGUGAGCAAAAUCUCACUCAAUAAGUAGUGCAUGUAUCUCAUUAUUGGCCUGAGCAUGUUACAUACAUAAUAUAUAUUUCAAACGUCAUUAACUUACACAUAUAACUUUAUAAGAACAUGGUUACUAUAAACAUUUCAAUGGCAUAUCAUACAUCACACACAAAAAGGAGCUCAAACCAUAAGACAACAAUUGACCCAGGAUAUCCAGUUGUUAACUUAAACUUAACCAGUUAACACAGUUCAUAGUGCUAACAACCACACAGUUAGACCGUUUCAUAUUGCUAACUACAACACGGAUAGCUCGUUUCAUAUACCAAUUACUUGCGAGCAACUAGUCCUGUCAAAAGUCGCUUAUACAAGAGCUCAACAAACAUAACAUUUCAUUUCACAAAUGACCAUGGCAAGAGUAAUAACUAAUAUCACAAAUUAUACUUGCUCAUGCCAUUUUAGCAAUUAGACAAGUAGCUUUCAUAAUUUAUCAUUCAAAAGAUAAAGGAUACGUGUACCACUUACCUCGAUCCAAUUGAUACCCACGCUAGUUCAAGUAAUCGGAAAAAUAGCUACCUUCCUCACCUAGACAUAAUAAUAAAAUGUUCAAUUACAAUCUUAAAGAUACCAAACUACUCCAAAUUAUCAUAAACCCUUAACCACUAAUUCCUAAUAAAAGAUCACUUCCUCAUCAAAGUAGGACAUAAGGGUUUACUUUAAAGGGUCACUAACUUCCAGAAAUACAGAAAUAGGGCAAGAGAUUUAUAUAGAUUAAAGCCCCCUGAAUCUAGUUUCCAACGCAACAAACGGCACCUAAAUCUGAAUUUUCUACACCAAGUUAUAUCCAAAGCAUUGAAAUAUGUCUAUAGAGAAAAUUCAAUCUAUCCGAGGAUUAUAACCAAUCCAUCCGAGGAUUUUAGCCAAUCCGUCCGAGGAUUAUAGCCAUGGAUUUCCAGCAAGCUUUCAAGGCAAAAACAAGUUCCAAAUUCAAUAAUCAAGUUCCAUUUCCAUCUCAAGUCAUCUUCCAACCUCCAUAGUUGUCAAAAUCAACAUAUUUCAGCUCCCAAAGUCAUGUAAAUACAUAAAUAAUCUUGAAAAUGAAUUGCUAGCUCAAGUCAUUCUUUCCCUCAACAUUUCUCCUUUUUAUAUUGAUGAUAGCCCUAUACCCAUAUGAAAAUAGAGACCAAAACAAACUUUAUACACCAUAGCCAUGGAAGCUAACCAAGGAUUUGAACCAAAUACUACCCAAUCACCCAAUCAAAGAAAACCAAGAUCAUGUUCAAGGUUUCAAGAAAAUACCUUGGUUAGUUGGCAAAGUAGAAUCUCCUAACUCCUCACUCCUCACUCCUUACUUGUACUUGAUUUGUCAAGAAUCCUCCUUGAUUGUAAGGAAAAAGGAGAGAAAUAAGAAAGGGUUUUGUUGGAGAAGGAAGAAAAAAAGGAAAUGAAGAAGAUGAAGAAAUUUUUUGGUAAAGAUGAAUAGUGAAAUCCCAAUAUUACUUUUAUUCUUUCAAAAUUUCACUUAUUAACACAUUGGUCACUCAACUUAACAUCUUUCACUUUUCACCCCAAAAUAGUAUUUCUUCACACAAAAUGCUCUACAUGACACUUGGGUAUCACAUUCUCCCCCUCUAAUAUAAGUUUUGACCUCGAAAUUUAUUGUACCUCGUUGGUUAAACAAAUGUGAAUACUUAGUUCGCAUUUCCUCUUCGAGUUCCCAAGUGGCUUCACGAAUACUAUGAUUGGACCAUUGAACUUUAACAUAGAGAAUUGUUCUUCUUCUUAGCACUUGAUCUUUACGACCCACAAUUCGAAUUGGCUUCUCACUAUAAGUUUGAUCCUCUCAUACCAUUAAUGGCUCAUACUCUAGGAUAUAACUUGGAUCAAAUACAUAUUUUCUCAAUUGCAAAACAUGAAAUACAUUGUGAACUCUUGAUAAAGAUGGUGGCAAGGCUAACUUGUAUGCCAAUUCUCCAAUUAUAUCCAAAAUUUCAAAAAGCCCAACAUAUUUUGCACUCAGUUUUCCACUUUUCCCAAAUUACAUCACACCCUUCAUUGGUGAAAUUCUAAGAUAUAAUUUAUCCCCUUCUUGAAACUCUAAGGGUCUUCUUUUCAAAUCAACCAACUCUUUUGUCUAUCUUGUGCUGUUUUCAACCUUUCUCUUACUAGUGCCAUCUUCUUGAUUGUAGCUUGUACAAGUUCAGAUCCAGUAAUGAUCCUUUCACCUACCUCAUCCCAAUAUAAGGGCAAUCUACACUUCCCCCCCCCAUAUAGAGCUUCAAAAGCUAGCAUGCCGAUACUACUAUGAUAACUAUUAGUGUAAGAGCACUCAAUUAGCACCAGAGAAUCCUCCCAACUGCCCCCAAAAUCCAUAACACAUGCUCUAAGCAUGUCCUCCAAGGUUUGAAUUGUACGCUCUGAUUGCCCGUCGAUUUGAGGAUGAUAAGCUGAGUUGAGGUUUAACUCGGUUCCCGUGGCUUGUUGGAGACUUUUCCAAAAUCGAGAGGUGAAUCUAGGAUCACGAUCAGAUACAAUACUCAUUGGGACACUAUGAUAAUGAAUAAUACAAUCCAUAUAGAGAUUAGCCAAAGUAUCCAUAGAUGCAGUAGCAACCAUAGGUACAAAAUGAGCUGAUUUUGUCAGUUGAUCAACUAUCACCCAAAUGGUGUCAUUACCUCUCCUAGACCUUGGUAAUCUAACAAUGAAAUCCAUUGCUAUAUGCUCCUAUUUCCAUUCCGGUAUUGUCAAAGGCUUUAAUAAUCUAGCAGGUCUUUGAUGUUUGGCCUUUAUUUGUUGACAAACUAAGCAUUUAGACACAUAAUUCGCGAUCACCCUCUUCAUACCACUCCACCAAUACGACUGCUUUAAGUCUCGGUACAUCUUGGUGUUAUUAGGAUGAAUAGAGCCUUGGAAGAGUGAGCCUCCGCCAUUAUUUCUUUUCGUAACUCCGGAUCUUUAAGCACCACAAGCCGAUUCCACAUCCAUAUACUACCAUCCUUGAGUAGGUGAAAGUCGGGUAAUUCCUCACUUUUAACUUUUUCCUUGAUUUUCACCAACUCAGUAUCAUUUUCUUGAGUUUCCUUGAUUCUCGAAAUUAAAGAUGGUUAGGCAACUAGAGUUGCGAGCACAUGCGUGAAGGAUUCUACCACCUCUAAAUUCAAUUCCUCCAUUUUUUUUACUAACAUAAUUGCUAUCAUUCCUGAAUUUUUCCUGCUCAAAGCAUCGGCAACCUUGUUUGUUUUUUCUGGAUGAUAACUAAUGGUAAGAUCAUAAUCUUUCAUUAACUCAAGCCAUCUUCGUUGUCUCAUGUUGAGCUCUUUCUGAGUGAACAAAUACUUUACGCUUUUAUGAUCUGUAAAGACCUCACUUUGCUCCCCAUACAAGUAGUGCCUCUAAAUCUUCAAAGCAAGAACAACGACUACCAAUUGCAAAUCAUGUGUAGAAUAGUUUUGUUCAUACCGCUUCAAUUGACGAGAUGCAUAAGCUAUGGCCUUCUCAUUUUGCAUUAGCACACAUCCCAACCCAUUUUUGGAUGUAUUGCUAUAAAUAGUGAAACCUCCAGAUCUAGAAGGUAAGGUGAGAACUGGUGCUGAAACAAGCUUAUUCUUCAAUUCUUGAAAACUAUCUUAACAUUUAGGUGUCCACUCAAACUUAACAUGCUUUUGAGUUAGACAAGUCAAGGACAAAGCAAUAGUAGAAAAACUUCAACAAAAUUUCUAUAGUUGCCAGCUAAGCUCAAAAAACUCCUCAAUUCUACCACGUCAGUAGGUCGGGGCCAAUCCACAAUAGAUUCUAUCUUCUUAGGAUCCAUAAAGACACCAUCUUGAGAAAUAACAUGCCCAAGGAAGGACACACUUUGAAGCCAAAAUUCACAUUUGUUGAGUUUAGUAUAAAGCUUCUCAUGCCUCAAGACUUGUAAAACAUCUCGCAGGUGAUUUUCGUGCUCCGCAUCACUUGUGGAGUAUACCAAUAUAUCAUCAAUGAACACCACCACAAAUCGGUCUAAUUGCUUUUUGAAUACCCCAUUCAUCAAAUCCAUAAAGGCUGCAGGAGCAUUAGUCAACCCUAAAGGCAUGACGAGAAAUUCAUAAUGGCCAUACCUUAUUCUGAAUGCACUCUUUGAAAUAUCCUACAGUUUAAUCCUUAAUUGAUGGUAUCUAUAAGAAGAUCUAUUUUUGAAAAUACCUUAGCCCUUUUUAAUUGAUCAAACAGGUCGUCUAUACGAGGCAAUGGAUACUUAUUCUUGAUCAUAAUUUUAUUGAGCUCCCAAUAAUCAAUGCACAAUUGCGUACUUCCAUCCUUCUUUUUUACAAAUAAAACUAGGGCACCCUAAGGGGAUACACUUGGUCGAAUCAAUUUCUUGUCAAGCAACUCCUGAACUUGAACUUUAAACUCCUUCAACUCUGUGGGGGCCAUCCGAUAGGGUGCCUUAGAUAUAGGUUCUGAGUUGAGUAUUACAUUAAUCUCAAAAUCAAUUUCUCUCUUGGGAGGCAGACCUAAUAAUUCAUGUGAAAACACAUCUGAAAAUUCUCUUGCAAUUGGGAUAUCCUCAAGUUUUAUCUCCCCUUUCUUACUAGAGUCUGCUAUAUAAGUUAGAAAACAUUCACAGCCCUUCCUAAUUGCUCUCCAAGUUUGUAUGGCAGAUAAAAUGGGUAGAGACUUCUUUGGUUUUCCUCAACACCCUUGAAAAGAAAAAGGUGGAAUGUUUGGGGUUUAAAAAUCAACACUUUUACCCAUACAAUCUAUAUGGGCAUAAUUUUGCGAUAGCCAAUCCAUACCUAAGAUAGCAUCAAAUUAUAUUCAAUUGCACUAGAUUUGCCUUAAACUCUCUCCCACCUAAAUCUAAAGUACAGCCUUCAUACAUAAGGUGAGAAACUAAAACUUUUCCCCCGGGAAUGGCUACACGAUACAGGUCAUCCAAAACAUAGGGUUUAAUAUCUAACUCUCAUGCAAACUUCUUUGAAAUGAAAGAAUGGCAAGCCUCACAAUCAAAUAACACAUACGCUGGAAGAGACUUAAUCAUUACCAUACCUGUCACAACAUCCUCUACUCCCGCUGCUUCUUGUUCAGUCAAGGCAUAUACCUUAGAGUUUGAGUAAGGUCGAUUUGCACUAGAAUUCAAGCUGUUUCCUGGGCUAUUGUUGCCUCUAGUUUGCUUAGAAUUCGGGCAAUUACUCAUUUUAUGCCCCACUUCUCCACAACUAAAACAAGCUCCCGUUUUCCACCUGCAUUCUCCCGGAUGAACCCGAUGACAAUAAUCACAUAACUUAGAUGGGUUAGUAGGUAGACACAUUGGAAAAGGUUGUUGAGAAGAAGUAGCCUGUUGCGAAAUUAUAGGUCUUGGUAACGGUGCUUGUCGGGGAGGUUGCAUUGGUCGAAGAGGUUGCAUUACACGAGAAGGCUGACCAUGUUGACGAAGUUGGCCUUGUAUUACAAUUUGUCUAUUUCUCCUUUGUCUCGUCUCUUCAUCCUCCUAAAGAAUGUCUUGUUCAACAUCUAAACUAGCUUCAUACAUUUGGUCACAAUUGGCAUAGAAAUUUUCAGAUAUUUUUUAUUGAAUCCGACUAUUCAAUCCUCCCUUAAAGGAGACCAUCUUCAUAGUCUCAUCGGCCAUUGUAGAAGGGACGAAGCAUCCCAAGGAGAGAAAAGUAGUGUAGUACUCGCCCACAGACAUGGAACCUUGCUUAAGGUUAUUUAAUAUUCGAAUCUUUUGAACUCGAAUAGCUGGUGGAAAGUAAUGUUAUAGAAACAUCUUUUUGAACUCAUCCCAUGUCAAAGUACGACCUGAAGAAACCAUGGUGAGGGCUACACCAUCCCACCAUUUCUCUGCUUCACCAAGAAAGAUGUCACUACUUGAGGUCGAAUAUCUUCUGGCACCAUCAUAGUUUUGAAUUUCUUCUCAAUUUGGGAUAACCAUCUCUCUGCCACAUUCGAGUUUGGGCCUCCAUCAAAAGUAGGCAAAUAGACCUUGCUAAGCUCCUUGAAAUGGUACUUAACACUAACCCAUAUCUUGCUCUCUUUUUUUUUGUUGUUGUUGUUGUUGAUAUUGCUGCCAUCCAUGCAUGAACUAAUAUGCCACAGAUAAGGUAGCUGGAUCUAAUUUUAGGGAGGAGGGGUGCUUUGAUUUGUAUUAUUUGAAUUCAAAGGAGGUGUUACCCUAGACGUAUCUUCACCUUUACGUCUUUGAGCGGCUUGGUGAGCAUCUAACAUAAAUCCCCCAAUAGGGGUAUCCAAUUCAUCUUCAUUCCCAUUCGGUCCAAGAUUUUCAAGUACCACAUCUUCUUCUCCCGUAGCUCAUACAUUAUUCUCUUGAAUACUGACAAUAUCCCUUUGCUUUCUUUUUGGUGCCAUCCUGCAAACACAAAUUAGGCUAGGGCAAAAUCUACCUACACUAAGCUACCGAAUCCUCAAGUGAUAGCAAUAGGUAUUUGAACACAAAAAUCAAAACUAAGUCAAUCCAAACUAAGGUUGGCCACCCGAAGUGUAAAUCAACUAGCUCGAAUAUUCUGUCCAACAUACACACUACAUUACAUCAAACUUUCAAUAAGUAUUAAUUCUUAAGGUACUAUAAGUAAGAUUGAUAUGUAGGCUCUGAUACCAAAUAAAUGUCACGCCCCGUGUUCGGAAUGUAACACCGCCACACCCUAGACAAUGCUAAAGAUGUAAGCCAACAAAUUUCCAAAACAACUACAUUCACCUUUAUAUAAACUUUCUAAAUCCACAAAUACAAGAUCAUCCAUAACAACAAUUUUGCGUCUUUCAAAAUAAAAGCAAGAUCAAACCUUCUACAAUAUGUACAAUAUUCAAAUCCUAUUAUAAGGUAUCUUAUAUAGAAGUACAAAAGUCAUCCUCUAACCAAAAGUUAUCUCCAUCUCCAUCUCCAUUACCACUCCUAAGAUCUAUCAAGAUCCACUUCAACGAACUUAUCAUUAACUGCAUAAUUAUAACAAAGAGGUGAGCGAAAUCUCACUCAAUAUGUAGCACAUGUAUCUCAUUAUUGGCCUGAGCAUGUUAGAUACAUAAUAUAUGUUUCAAACGCCAUUAACUUUACAAGAACAUGGUCAUUAUAAACAUUCCAAUGGCAUAUCAUACAUCACACACAUAAAGGAACUCAAACCAUAAGACAACAAUUGACCCCAGAUUAACUUAAUCGGUUAACAUGGUUCAUAGUGCUAACUUCAAUAUGGUUAGCCUGUUUCAUAUUGCUAACGACAACACAGAUUACUCGUUUCAUACACCAACUACCUGUGAGGAACUAGUGCCGUCAAAAAUCGCUUAUACAAGAGUUCAACAAACAUAACAUUUCAUUUCACAAAUGACCAUGGCAAGAGUAAUAACAACUAUCACAAAUUAUACUUGGUCAUGCCACUUUAGCAAUUAGACAAGUACCUUUCAAAAUUCAUCUUUCAAAAGAUAAAGGAUACAUGCAUCACUUACCUUGAUCCAAUGGAUACCUACGCUAGUUCAAGUAAUCGAAAAAAUGGCUACCUUCUUCACCUAGACAUAAUGAUAAAAUAUUCAAUUACAAUAUUAAAGAUACUAAACUACUCUAAAUUAUCAUAAAAAGGAGUCUAAUACUACCCUUAACCACUAAUUCCUAAUAAAAGAUCAUUUCCUCAUCAAAGCAGGACAUAAGGGUUAAUUUUAAAGGGUCACUAACUUUCAGAAAUACAUCAACAUGGCAAGAGAUUUAUACAGAGUUAAACCCCCCUGAAUCUAAUUUCCAACGCAACAAACAGCAACUAAAUCUGAGUUUUUUACAUCAAGUUAUGGCCAAAAAACUGAAAUAUGUCUGUACAGAAAAUUCAAUCCGUCCGAGAAUUAUAGCCAAUCCGUCCGAGGAUUAUAGCCAUGGAUUUCUAGCACGUUUUCAAGGCAAAAAACAAGUUCCAAAUACGAUAAUCAAGUUCCAUUUCCAUCUCAAGUCAUCUUCCAACCUCCAUAGUUGUCAAAAUUAACAUAUUUUAGCUCCCAAAGUCAUGUAAAUACAUAAACAAUCUUGAAAAUGAAUUGUUAGCUCAAGUCAUUCUUUCCCUCAACAUUUCUCCUUUUUAUAUUGAUGAUAGCCCUAUACCCAUAUGAAAAUAGAGACCAAAACAAACUCUAUACACCAUAGCCAUGGAAGCUAACCAAGGAUUUGAACCAAAUACUAACCAAUCACCCAAUCAAAGAAAACCAAGAUCAUGUUCAAAGUUUCAAGAAAAUAUCUUGGUUAGUUGUCAAAGUAGAAUCUCCUAACUCCUCACUCCUUAGUUGUGCUUGAUUUGUCAAGAAUCAUUCUUGAUUGUAAGGAAAAAGGAGAGAAAUGAGAAAGGGUUUUGUUGGAGAAGGAAGGAAGAAGAUGAAGAAAUUUUUUGAUAAAGAUGAAUAGUGAAAUCCCACUAUCACUUUUAUUCUUUCAAAAUUUCACUUAUUAACACAUUGGUCGCUCAAUUUAACAUGUUUCACUUUUCACCACAAAAUAGUAUUUCUUCAUACAAAAUUCUCUACAAGACACUUGGGUAUCACAAUAAUUGUUAGGACCGACAAUUCUUAUAGGCUGUCUGAGACCACAAUAUUCAUGGAUAUAAAUGAAAGCAAGAACAUUUGAUAUAGCGCUAGGGAUUUUCGUAUCAGCCUUGACAUCUAUAUGUAUCUCUUCCAUUUGGAUAUUUAUCUACAACGAGUCUUUGUAUCGAUAAUGCCCGACUAAAUCAAAAAGAAAAGACAAUUUGCAUUAUUUCUUUUUUCUCUUUUUUUUCCCAAUGUGUCAAACAACAAGAAUAGUAACCUCCUGUUGGAUCCUUAAUCCAACGUUGGACUUAUAUUUAAAUGAUUAUGUGUUUCAAAUUGUCAAAUACGGUUAAAUCCAAUUAAAAUGAUCAAAUAUAAUUUGGGCUUAAUGUAUCUAAUAGGGUGUGGGCCUUUAAUAUGUAGAGACUUAAGGAUAUUUUUUAUUUCUAUGAUGGGUUGAAAUAGGAAUCCAAAAGAUAAUAGGAAUGUUAUCUAUAAAUAGGGUUAUAGUCCCCAGGUCACAAGUAUUCUUAUUAUCGUAUAUUCUAGUACCACUGACGGGAUUUUAAUAUACGUACAAGUUAAAAAAAAUCGAAUUACACCCGUUCACUGCAAGUAUACAGGUCAACUAGUAGUUUAGGGUAUAUAUCGGGUCGAUCCCACAGGGAAGAGUGAACAAUUAUCGGUAUUACUAAAACUUCUCUAUUAUUUAGACUAUCAAUGAAUUAUAACAAAUUUAACCUACUGAAAUUAUACAAAAUAACAAAUAAAAGCUCCUUAGGUUGUGGUAUCCUUAACUACUCAUGCAAGUGCUAUAUUUGAAUCAUUGAGUGCUACAUUUAGGCUAGUUAUGGUGUAAUUUUCUUAUGCAUUUGAAUCCUACUUUCGUAGUAAAUUAAUUAUACUUAUAACUAAUCCAUACAUAUUCUCAUGGUUAUGAAAUUAGCUACAAGUUCAUUUCUUUAGUGAAAUUACAUGAAAUGAAUCACUAAAAAUCACAUAGGUGGACCUCUAUUUUCGUAAGUGUACUCCUUAUGAUUAGCACUUCUUACACUAGUGUUAAAUCUUAAUUUUCAUUGCAGAAACAAUACCUUAGAUAAUCACAAUCAAUGGUACCAGAUUAAUCAUGAUUUAAAGAGUUAAAGUGCUAAAUAACUUGCUCAAAUAAUAGCAAUCAAAUAGCCAAAUAAUAAACACUAACAAUCAUAGAAAGUUCAACCAAACCCAAGGCAUAAAUUUUAAAGACACGUAAUAAACAUGAAAUCCAAAACUUGUAUAUUAACUAAAUUUGGAAUCAAGUACAAAAGAUAAAGAGUUGGAAGGAAUGUAACCCUUGUCACAUGAGUUUCAACUCCUUCUUCUUCAUCUCUAUCUUCAUCCUAAUCUAGUUAACAUACAAGAAGGAUGAACUAAUUAGCUAAACUAGCCUACACUAAGGAAACCGUAUGAUAAUAGUGCUCUUUUCAAUAUUUGCUAGUUAGAGAGAAUUUGCUAUCAGAAAAUCUGGCUACGUAUGGAUGUCCAGACAUCUCCCAAUGUCUCUGUACAAAAACUGCUCAAGAGCUCCAUUUUUCCAAGUCAAAUUCCCCUUUCUGAUUCCCAAAUCUUAGAUUUGUUAAGAUAGUCAAUAACCAAGGUUUUUGACUUGAAAAUAAGCCAUAUUGUCUGCCCUUUUGUCUUCUGAAGCAUGUGCACCGAAUUCCCUUGCAACUUAUAGCUGGAAAGUAGUCUGAACACGAGAAAUGGCUGAGCAAAUUGUAGAAUUUCGGCUACAAAACGCGCCUAUACAAGCCGCAGCUUCAACCCACAUUUUGCCAACUCGCGUUUUCAACUCUGUGAAAUUGGCCUCACUUCAACUGCAAUUUUCUCUAUGAUGGAGGCCGAACUAGCUUUUGUACAAAACACAAAAGUUGUAGCCCUUUGAGUUAGCUUUACAAUGCUUAAAAAUCAUCCAAAUCGGAGCUUUGUAGCCUAAGAUAUGAUCGAAAUACUAUCACCUGGUCAAACCCCUGUUUCGAUUUUUGACUACAGAAUGCAGCUUCUGUAUUCCGACUUUUUGUCCAUGAAAUAGCAGAAUUGGAUUUCGAUGUUUUCAUACCAAUUGUCGGUCUCUUUCUUAGCUUUAAAAUGGUAUAAAGAUCAUCUCAAUCCGAUAAGUGUAGCUCCAGAUAUAGUCGAAAUACCGAAGAGUGUCAAAACUGUUUUGAACCGCACUUCUUCACUUAAACGUUUUUCACUUCAUUUCUCUUUUUUACCACUUGAAUUCAUCACCAAUUAUCUACUUUUCACCUCAUUUGACAUCCUUUGGUGAUUGGAUCAUUAACUUGCAAGAAAAUAAAGUUUUUACCAUUAAAAUCAAUAGAAAUGCCAUAUUAGUCAUUUUUACAAAAGUUGUAUCUUUUUACCAAAACCUAGUUAUUUUAGUUAUAAAACUAAAUAAUCAAACCAAAGUUAACUAAUAAAAUGUACUUAAAAAUACGUAAAAUAAACUCUUAUCAACCACAAAACAGCUCUUUCCUGAUAUCCCAUUGUCAGGAAAGAUACUAAAGAAAAACUAAAGUACUCUCUCAAGAAUUGGUAAAUACGUGUUGACCUGUAAGGCCACCUCAAAAUCUUCAAAGAUUCAAAUGCCAAUUUGUCAACAUGAAUUUAGGUACGCUUCAGCAUUUAUAUUAUUGUUUUGUUCAAAUAUCUGAAAUUGGGAUUCUGGAAAUUCCUACACCUCCUCCCUUUGAAAUUUCAGAGAACAGAACCAAAUAUUUCAUUCCUACUAACUUAUGGGCACGCGUUACAUCAUUCCUACUCAAUUUAACUAUCUUAACGACUUAGAAAAAGCUAGCUACAUAUGCAUUGUCUUCUUACAUAGAUAAAAGAUGUGCAGGGCAUAUAGAAAGAUCGUCCAAAUGGGUUUAAUUUGCUGCUUUUAAGCUUGACAUUUGUAAGACUUAUGACCGGGUAUCAUGGCAAUUUCUACCGGCUGUUCUAAGAAAAAUGGUUUUUCCAGAAUCCAAGAUUAAUGUUGUUUUGAAGAGUAUCUUUUUUGUCUCUUACUCAAUUGUAAUUUUUUUUUUUUUACUUAGGGUUAUCCCAGCCUUUCGGCCAAUUAAUUCCCUAAAACUGUGUAGCAUCUUAUCCUAAGGAUACAGAGUAAGGUAGUACACAGAAUUCGAUCAUGGGACAUGGUAGUAACUAUCAGACUACGGAAUCAGUCCAACUACCCGCAGGACACUCAAUCGUAGUUAAUGGAGCACUAUCAUCGGUAAUAUAUCCUACCAGAGGCCUUCGCCAGGGAUGCCUCCUCUGAUCAUCAUAUCUCUAUCUCAUACCAAGAGGCGUUGUCAGCAGCAUUAUGUUCUUUGGCAUCUAUAGAAUCUGUCCCCAAAUAUCGGUUAGUCGUGCAAGUCCUCCUGCAUCGCAUUUAGUAUUUGCUGAUGAUAAUAUUUUUGUUUUUCAAGUGCUCGGAGGCAGCUGCACUGCACCUGAAGGUGGUAUUGGAGAAAUAUGCACAUUUCUCUGGGCAGGAGAUGAAAUUUAGCAAAUUUAGUUUGGUCUUUAGCCUCAACGCGCCUGCUAAUUUGAAUCAAUUAACAUGCAUCAUAUUCUCUAUCCAAUCAGUUCCUACAAUAGGCAAUGUUUUAAAACUCGGACAGUUAAUUGAACCGGUGAAGUGUUCGGGUCAAGGUUCAACCGGUCGGACCGGUUCAACCCCGAUUCAAUGAAUUUUUUUAAAAAUAAUUUAUAUAAAUAUGUAUAUGCACAAAAUAAGACAUGUAUUGGGCUAAUUUAAAACUUUAUAUGAUGAAAAGUUUACUAUUUUUGAAUAACUUGGAUUUUCAGAAAUAAAUUUUUUAAAUUAUAAGUUGAAACAAAUAAAUUUCAUCUCAAUUUCAAUUAUAUCUACCAAAAAAAAUCUUAAAUCCAACCCAAAACUACCACAAUAUUUUGAAAUUAUACAAAAUUCACGUCUAUGAGAAUUUAGAUAUUGUGAGUUUAAAUUUUAAUUUACGUUUCUGAGAUUUAGAGAUUGCAAUUAACAAAAAAGAAAUUUGGAGUUUGAAGGAAGUUAAGAGAAUCAAAAAUAAAAAUGCAAACUUGAUAAGAAACAAAAAAUGAGAUAAAAGUGAAUGAUUGUGGCAUUUAAUAAUUAGUCUUUAGGGUUAAAGAAAAUAAUUCUUUUUUAAUUUUUUCAAUUUAAUGGACAAAAAAAAUUAAAAGAUGGAAGAAAAUAUCAAUAAAUUAAAACUAAAGAGUUUUGAUUAAAAAGGGAGUGACAAAAGAAAAGAGGAGAGAAAGAGAAAGUUGAACAUUAAAAAGAAAUAAGUCUGAUGUGUCUUAGGAGUUAUGGGUUUAGGCUAGGGUAUUUUUAAUUUUUCACUUCAAGUUAAGUAGAAUCUACACAAAGAAAUUUCGUCCGCUGGCUGUGAUUAAAUGGUAAUGACGCUUUGUUGUAUUCCCAAGGUUUGGUGUUUGAUUCUUGUUGGCCUCAAUCUAGACAUUAUUUUCGAAAAGUUUCAAAAACCGCCGGUUCCCGAUCAAAGCGGUUUUUCACGAUUCGUCCGGGUUAUUCGGUUUGUAGCGGUUUUUCAUUACUCUCCGGCUUUAGCUCUAGACCGGACCGGUGGUCUGUCCGGUUCACGAUCCAAUCGGUUGAACCGGCCAGUCCGGUCCGAUUCUUAAAACAUUGACAAUGGGUAGAUAUGUGGGUUUAAAAGACGAAGAACCCACUACUACAAAGGUACAAGAUUUAUCAACAAAUUCCACCGGAGUCAAACUCUAGACGUGGCGUUGGGACACAACACCCUAUUGUAACGUUGCAAUACAAUGACUUAAAAGUACUGUUAGAUAAUUUAUUGAUUGAUUUGCAAUCUCAAAAAAGUUUAUUGAAGAAAUGCAAGCUUGAUCUCCAAUAGUUGGCUCUUGCGCAAUUUUAGUGUCUAAAGUUUCGUCAAAAACAAAUAUUGUGUCCAAAUUUUCAAUUCAAAAUAUUUUUGAGACAAUUGACAAAUUUAAUAAAUUUGAAUUGAUCCCAAUUUCAAGUAAAUUUAGGACAAUGGACACGACCAAAUUCAUUUUUGUUGAAACCGUGGACACAAAAUUUGUGCAGAUACAUUGGAGACCAAAUUCAUUUUCAAUUCGUUUCUCUCUCUCUCUUUAUUCUGUGAAGGGAAGAUAUGAUUUUGAAAACCUAUACUUUGGCCUACAAAAUCUUAAUUUUUUCCAAAUCCAAUAAAGAAGGAAGGGAAAUAAAAAUAAACAAAUAAAAAGAUGGAAGGGAAAUAUAAAAAAAUAAAUAAGAAACAAAAAAUACAAAAUCUUUUUUUGACUACAAAUAUCAUUAUAAGUUUUUAAUCUAAAACUUUAAUGGUAUUUUCUAUUUCUUAUUUAUGUAUUUUUUUUAUUUCAAUUUCUUCCUUUUUAUGUUUAGAGGAAAAAAAGAAGUAAUGAAAGGAUAAAUUUGUCAAUUUAUUAAUUUGAUUUUGAAUUUUACCACUGACCGUAAGUUUUAAUGAAAAAAACUAAGUGACAUUUUAUUUCAAAUUAUGAGGAGGUUACAUAUAAUUUUCAAACCGUAGGAUGGUUAUGUUGUAAACCACCAAACCAUACGGGGUAAAAGGUAAUUUACCCAUUAAUCUAUGCCCACUAAGUUUCCUUGGAGCUAUUAAUGCAUGAAAAAAAAAAGCAUGCUUUUUUCAGCAAAAUGGGGACAUAGACAAAAGUUUCAAUCUCAUAAACAUAAUAACCACCGGAUGUUUUCAUUAAUUCAUAGUGAAAACAAGAAGAUCCGCAGUCCUAGUUAAGCAAGAAAAGCUUAUGAGUCAGUUCAUUCAUAAACUUUCGGAAUUACCUGAAGAAUGAUGAGCUUUGGUGAUACUUUUUUUGGCAAAAUGCAAGCUUUCUACAAUUAAGGUCGGAAUAAGAUUGGAUACAAACGUCCUCUUUAAAUACGAGCCAUCAGUUUGUAAAGAGGAAGUUAUAUGGUUCUCUUUGGGAAGCUGCAAAUUUUGGUGAUUUGAAACCAAUUUGAAAAUUGACAAAAUUCGUGCUUUCCUUGGCAGCUACUGGCUUUGAUUGAAAGAGAUGAUCUUGGCAAUGGCUAUAUUGAGUCAAAAUCAGACAACGAUCUUGGCUAUGGAAUUUGGAAUGUUUUGUUUCCACUUUCCAAAUGGUAGUUGGCUUGUUGCAAUAAAAAAGAAAAAUUGCAGUGGUCCUCAUCGGCAAAAUUUGAUGGUCAAAAUAUCUAAUUUCUCACGUGGGACAUCUUUUUGUAAGUAUUACUGUAUUGGUUGCUUCUAAUCAACCACAAGUCAAAAAGAAAGUUGUCUUUUAACUACUUGUUCAAAUUUAUAAGUCAGGCUUUCCAUUAAGGAAUUGAAGCCACCGCCUUGCACUCCAUGGUGGUUCUGUGCACUAAUCAAAUUGAUUUAGAUGCAUUACAGGGUUAGCAAACAAAGUUGUGGGCUUUCAAAUGAUUCUAACGGAAUUUACUAAUGAAAAGUCUUGCAACUCAAGACACAUACUUCAAGCUUUGUGUUUGGCAAUUGUCAAGCAAUGCCUUACCAAAUCUUAAAGUUGGGGCAUUUGCAGAAAAUAAAAUUUUUAUUUCAUUUAUUUAUUCAAGAUUUAAUAAAUUGAGUUGAUUUUAAGUAAACUAAAUUAAAUUAUGAAAGCCCUUUAUUUUUUAUCUAACAAAUUGGGCCAGUAUUAUGUGGGCUGUUAAAUCAAUUAAAUAUGCAAGGUCCAUUUAAAUUAAAAUGGAUUAAUGGAUUCAUUGAUUCACAAUGGACUGUUGGGCCAGCUUAUUACUAAAAUCCAUAUUAAAUGGAUUUCAAAUUGAACCAGUAUUAAACGAAUUGUUGGGCCAGCUUAUUGUUAAAGUUUUUCACUUAUAUUGUUACAAUAAAAUAUUUCAAAACAUCCGUAAAAAUAGUUAAUCCAAACAGAGACAUAGCUUUUUAUAUUACUUUAAUUAAAUUUUUUUUCUUUUUUCUUCUUUGGCUGCAAAAAUUACACACCACCAUAGGAAUAAUUCACUUAAUGAACUUCGGAGGUCUCUGACUAAAAAUAACGGAGCAAUCAUUGAUGGCAAUUUGGUAAUGGUAAUGAUGGCAUUUGACCAUGUUAUUAAUGGCACUUUAGAUCUAGCCUCAAAAAAUGCUGAUUCUAAACAUGAGGAUGGUUUCUUCGAAAAAGGUUGUCCUAUUUGUUCUCUUGCAACGGUAUCUGAAGACAAUCACUGUACGUAAGCAGAAAUGCCUAAUCCCUCCUUUCACUCAGUCCCUUCAUUUUUUCUUCAUUUCUCACUUGUUUUUUUUUUGAAUUUAUAGAAGAAGUGCCUUUUAAAUUUACAGAACAAGAAGAAGAUGAUGAAUGCGAGAGAAAAGAACCCUGUGGUCAUAGCACACUGUGCUUCCUAAUUUGCCUCUCCAUUAUGUCUAGUGAAUCACACAACGGUAGAAUCUGACAGAAUGACUCAGAAUCAAAUACAUACUUUAGAUAGUUUAGUAGCCAAAACCAAAUUGUUAAUAGUUCAGUGGCCAAAACUCAAUGAUUACAAAAGUUCAGUGGCUAAUGAGGUAAUUUGCUCGAAAAAUAAUGAUAGAAGCAGCGAAGGGUGAAAUUUCGAUGUUCAUGCCGCUGAGAAAGUUUUUGUAUGACUGAUUCCCUGGGAGUGGGAGAUUGCCAGAAGAUUCAAUAUCACUUGUGGUAGGGAAACCACAAUGAAGGCUCUCUGUCUUGGAGGUGUCUGAAGCAAAAAGUCCUGGGCAGAAAUGUGAAACAAAAUCUGAAUUGUGGGCUUGUGUUUGCGGCUGAUGACAAUAUUAUUGUCCACCGGAGUCUUCCGCCCAAACAAGGUGACCCUCCUAUUAUCCCUGCCUCAUUAUCUACUUCAUGUUUUGCUUUUGCUAACUCCCUUACCACUCAAAACGAGUUUUGGGUCGAGGGUGAGGUUAGGGCGAUAGAACUCGAGAAGGGGAUGGAGAAGACUGAAGCUUCUGUGGGCUGGAGCUUAGGAUUGCGGAUGCUGGAGUUGGGUUUGGGUUUUGCCUGCCAAUGAUCACCCCGAGUUGCUUAAUUUGGUAGAGAAAAAUCAGAACAUAGGAAUGGCCUGGAGGCAGGUUAACUCGUGCUAGCGACCUAAUUAAUAUUCAUAUGGGUAAAAUACAGUAAACGCAUCUGUGGUUAGGAAAAUAAAUACGAAACUCCCUCAUUGUUUAAAAACACUCAUUUAACCGCCCUUGCGCUUUAAACUUCUUUGGAUUGUACCUGCUAAUAGGUUGGGAAGCAGUAAUAAUAUACAAUACCAAAAAUACCCUCAUUUAUAAUAUCUCAAAAGGCACAGCUGUGAGACCCCGGUUAGUCCUUAAUUUUGAUAUUAUUUGAAUAAGGAGUAUUAUCGAUAUUUUGGUAUAAAAUUUGGUUUUAAGGUUGGUGGUAAUACUUUAAAAGGUUAUUUCGUCUAUAUACUAUGAAAACCCUAAUUUGGGUUAUUACUAAAACCCUAGUUUUUGUAAUGAAUUACAAGUUUGUGCUAUUAUAUUAAUAGGCAUGCUAAUAUAUGUUAUCGUGCAAGUAAGUAUAGGAUUCGAUUCUUUUAGCAAAGGUUAGGUAGGUUUGAGAGCUAGAAAACUCUAAAUUAGUCAAACCUCUAGUGUUACAAUCCAUUAGAAAACUUAAGUUGGGUUUAAAACCCUAAUUUUGCCAAUGUUAUAAAGGUUGUUGUUUCAUUGUUUUUAUUAUGGAGAAAGUAUGAUUAAGUAUAGGAGGUUAAGAUAGGAAGGUGAUUAGUGAAAUGAUUAAGUGUGACUAAGUAUUUUAGACUAGAUUAAGUGUAUGACCUAUGGAGUUAAUUGAAAGCUUUUCAUAUAAUUGUGGGCAAGAGUGUAAGAAACUUAAACUAAGGUUGUAAGGGCUUGGGAGCAAAUUGUAAUCUUUUAUGUGAUUGGUUGGGUGCAAAAUAUCCUUAGUGGUUGAUGACUCACCUUAACUCUAGAAUAUACAAGAGGAAUCAAGACAUAAAUGAAACCAUCACCAAGGGAAAAAGCAAGAGAAAGGGUCGAAAUUUUGAGAGCAAAAGAAAGGGAAAUUUCCUCCAAAGUUCAUCAAUUUUUAACCAUCCAUCUUGCUUUUGAAGCUUAGGGUAGCAACUUAAGCACUUGAUUGUUGUGGUUUGAUCAUCUACAAAGCUUAUUUGAACGUAUAUCAUCUUACUUGGAAGUUAAAUUUUGGGGUUUUAAUCUUGAAGCUAUGGAAGUGAUGCUUUUGUUGUGAUUAUGCAUUUUUAUGGGUUGUAUGAUGAUUAUGGAGUAGUUUUAUGGUUUAUUUUGAUAGUUAUAUUGCUGAUUUUGGUAAAGGCUAGGAGGAAAAGGUAGGGUUUCUUGAUUCAUGAUUCAUAGAGUUGGUUUGGUUGAAUUUUGACUUGUUAAUGGCAUCGUUGAUGUAUUAAUUUCACUUGUAUGGUUGGUAAGUAGCAAAUUCCAGAUUAGUCAUGAAACCCUAAUUCAAAGGAAAGUUAGUUUGGUUGGGUUAGGGCUUAAGUGAUUAGAGUUUGAUUGAUUAGGUGGUGAAACUAGUAAAGUUAGUAGGAUUAGCACCUAGAUUAUGGUUAGUAUUGGGUAAGUCUUGGGAUUAAAUUGGGAAAGGAAUUUUGGUUCACCUGUAGAGCAAAUAGGAGGUGAUUUAUGUGUGUUUAUUUGGUAUGAAUUUGCUAGGAAAACUUGCAUGAGAAUGGUAGAAACGAAUCAUGCAUUUGAGGCGCGCGGAAUCGUUCAAUCUGGAAACAGGGCAGCCCAGAAACCGAACUUUGGAUCCAUUGUUCUAUGUGCUACGUAUGGAUUCAGGGUUUGCCCAAAACAUAAAAGUUGUAGCUGCUAAAGUCCUUGUCGUGUCUGCAAAAUUUCAACCCAAUCUGAUCAGUGUAGCCUGAGUUAUGACCAAAAACCCCAAAUGGCUGUACAAACUUCUGGAUUUGGUGACGUUUCUUGAUUUUGCUUCUGACCAUGCUCAGUUCACCUUAACGUUUGAACUGGGUGUUGAGGUCUUCAUAAGACUUGUAGAUCUUUGUUUUAGUUUCAAAACAGUAUAAAUUUCUUCCAAAUCUGAGACCCGCAGCUCCAGUUAUACCCAAAAUAAGAUCGGGUGUCAGAACUGCCAUUGAAAUUGGGCAGUUCUGACAGGAACUUUGGACCCGUUUUUCACCCUGCUCUGUAUUGAUUCAGGUUUUGACCAAAACAUAAAAGUUUUAUCAUUAUGACAUAUCUUUCUAACACCUUUGGAAUUUCUUGAUUUGGAUUUGCGAGCUGUGAGUUAUGGUCCGGCAAACAGACCCUGUCCGUCACCCUAAAGUGCAAACUUCUGGUACUGUUUUCCAUAAUUUCGACCUGCUUCCAUUCAGAUCUAGAUUAAGGUGUCUUCAUGAAAAUUUUAACCCUUCCUCUUAGCUUCGCAAUGGUGUCUCAUACACUUUGAUCCGACAUUCCUAGCCUAACUUUUAAUCCAAACGGUUCGGGGUAGCAAAUCUGCCCUUUUCCGUUUCCCGUUUACCAAUUCCGCACGUGCUCAUGUGCCAAUUUUGCCGUUUUGCUUGCUUUAGGCAUGUUAGUAGCCGUUUGUGAUAUAAUGUGAUGCAAUCUUUUAUUUCAGACGGUGGUGAGCUAGACAGAGCCGAUGGGGCCUACUAGCUAUCACACACGAAGAGAUUUUCGCACUUGUGCUAGUUUUGUACUUUGUGUAAGUAUUCAGGCUGUUCCUAUGUGUUAGUUGCUUAUGUGUUUUGAUAUGUAUGAGAGGGUGCCUAGGUGAGGGUGUAUUUUAUCGCACUCGACCUAAACCCUAAUUUGCACACAUAUUUGUACAUGGCAUAUGUAUAUGAACUAUUUUGGAACUAAAACCCUUGAGCUUGUAGCUCGGGGUGACUUUUGGGUGAUUUUGUGAAGUUUGUGAGUUUGGGGCCCGAUCUCAAGACCUAGAUGGACUAUUCGAGCCGGUCAGGGUUUGGUCGAAAUCAGUCCAACCUAGUCUGAGGUCACCAAGUUUGUGAAUCCGGUUCACCGAGUAUGUGAACCAAGUUUGUGAACCAAGCUCAAUUUCGUUUGCUUGAGCCAUUUUGUGAGGUGACUGGCCAGUAUGGGGGAUAAGGUGUAUGGUGGGAGUAAGUGGAGUUCUACGGACCCUUAUUUGUGGUCUACGGAGUGUCGACAGGAGGUCACACAUGGCACAUGACGUGGCUUUGGAGCCAACCUGUAUCCUUAACUUGUGUUGUUACUUUUAUAGUUUCAAUUUGACAUCAUUGUGACGUAAUUGUUCGUAUUACUGUGAAACUUACAUUUUUACCCCUGUUUACUUACUAAGCAUCUAUCUUACCCCUUUUCCUUUGUUUUCCUUAACAGGGGCCGACGCGGGGAACUUUUGCCACUAUCACUAGUAUAGUUAGGCUUGGUUUGUGAUAGCCGAAGAACUAAGAUGUUUUCUUGUUUUAGUGACCUGUAUAAGGACCCCUCUUUGGGUCUACUUUCUAAUUUUGAUUACUAUCAUACGACGAUGUAGUGAUCUGGAUAUCUACUUUUGAGAAUGUAAAUAGAAAUCUUUUGGGGAUUGUAUAUUCUGAAUAGUGCUCUUUUGGUUUCUUUAGUUUUUAUUGUUUUGUAUUUUCAAGUCCUGGCGCGAGUUAGGCAGGCGUUCCGCCGAUACCCUUGGGUUCGCCCUUGGGAGAAGUGGGGGCAUCACAACAGCUGCAAUUAGUAGAUCUUGAGUGGUACUUCAGGUGUAGAGAGAGAAAGUGGAUGAAACCUUAAACCUAUAGCCAAGAUCUGCCGCAAUCACUAUCAUCUUCCGCGACAUCAAUAAACUAUAGAAUUGUCGUGUGUAUCUCACAAAUGAAAAAGGCAUUUCUGUGCAGAUUGAUUGAGAGUUACGAAGCAUCGAGCAUAGCGAUUAACAAGGUAAUCUCAUAUCUGAACCCUAACUUUACUUGUGUUGAUUGGUUUCAUGGUAGACGUUUGGUAGUAUAUUGUUGGAGAUAUUUCGAAACUUGGUAAAAGAAGUGAUAGCUUUGGCUUAGCCAAAAGUAUUGUCGACAAUCUUUAUCGAAAAAAUUUAUAAAAAAAAUUGCUAAGUAUGCAAAAAGGAGAAAAGAAUGGGUCUUUGCGGAGUAAUCUAGACUAUUGUGGUCAAUACUGGUAUUGAUUAUGUUUUUUAACCUUUUAGAUGAGUGUGUUAAUGUUGACUAUGCUUUUUUGAAACUACAAGUGUAUGAAAUAUUGCCUGUCGUUUUCGAUACAUCUGAAAAUUAAAUUAGUAAAUUUAUCUCUGUUACUUUGGUUUAGAUGUAUAAGAAUGGAAGAUAAUCUGUUUAAGAGUAUAGACAUAUACAUGCAUUAUGGUGGAAAUUUCAAAUGAAACUGAGAAUUAGAUACACCGGCGAACAAGUGAGGAUAUUUUGUGGAUGGGACCCUGAUGAAUUUUCUCCAUUUGACUUUCAAAAGAUGUAUGACACAAUUGAGUGUGGUGUAAGCAAUAUGAAUUUCUAGUACUCUAUCCCCUUUCAUGACCUUGAUGUUGGUGUUGUUACUAUUAAGGAUGAUGCCGACAUCGAGUUAUUGACAAUAUGUUAUGAAAGGCUUCCAGAAAUACACAUAUAUGCUGAGAAAGGGCCUGAACCCAUUGAAGUUGUGUCUUUGGAUGAAUAAUUAUUGUACAAGAAAGUGACUGGUGAUAGCUUACUUGCACUUCCAUUUCGUGAUAAUUGGCAAUUGGUGUGUUCAUAUUGGAUUAUCCGCAUUUGUUAAAGGCAGUGAUAACUUUGACGCUACAGUUAUUGGGAAUGAGUACAAUAAUGAUAUUUCACAUAUUAACUAUAGAAGAAAAGGCAUCUGUGAUGAAGUGUCAUCACAAAUGGAGUUGGAUCCAAUUUUUGUGGGACCACAUAGAGAGCAGAUACAUGAUUAAACUAAUAAAUCCAAGUGGAAGAAAACAAUAAAUGGUAAAAAAACUGAGUGGCAAAGAGUAAAAUUAACUGCAAGGAAGUUAGUCCAGCAGUUAGUUAAAGAGAAGGAAAAAGUUGAUACAACUACAGAGGUCUAGCAGUCUCCCACAAGAAAUUCAGCAGAAGAAACAACAUUUGGGAUAGAUCCAACAGAAGAAACAACUAAUUUGAGGGGAGAAAAAAUAGCUGAUGAAGGUGGAGAAAAAGAUGUUGUCAUACCAGACUAUUCAGAUCUCCCGGACUGGCUAAGAGAAGGACUAGAAUGGCCUGAAGAUGAUGAUAUAUUUGCAGGCUUAAAUGGUCAAGAAUCAACAUAGGCAUCUAUUAAUUUAGGAUCUGUAAAUUUUGUUAGAGUUGGUUUAGAGUAGCAACAAGAAAAUCAGCAAGCCAAAACUAGAAAACAAGCUGGUAUAGAUCAACAACAAGAAAAUCAGCACUCCUAAUCCAGAAAACAAACUAGUUCAGAGCAGCGGCAAUAACAUCAGCAAUCGAAAUCAAGAAAACAAGCAAAGAACCAGACCCGUGAAGAGGGGAGUCAACCAACACCAGGUGUGGAUGAUAGAUGCCGUGUCAAUGAGUAGGAAGAGAACUAGAAUGAGCCAGUAGAGGAUGAUGAAAAGCUAUUUGACAAUGGGAUAAGAUCUGAUAAAGAAAGCAUCCCUAUUUACAGUUACUUCAAUGAGAAGAAAAAGUUUAGGAAAGAGCACUUUGAACUAAAGGUCUGACAGAAAUUUACUAGCUUCUUUAAAUUUAGCAAGACUUUAGUGGAGUGGGAAAUUAGGGAGGGUAUAGGCACAAAUACAUCAGAAAUGAAGGCUCUCGAAUCACAAUUAAAUGUACGAAGGGGUGCAGUUGGAGAAUUCAUGCAUGCAGAAUCCAGAGAACAAAGACUUUUAUGAUGAGAGCACCAUUGUGCAGGGAGAGCACCAUUGUACAUCAGAAAUGAAGGCUCUCGAAUCACAACUAAAUGUGCGAAGGGGUGCAGUUGGAGAAUUCAUGCAUGCAGAAUCCAGAGAACAAAACUUUUAUGAUCAAAACUCUUAAGGGAGAGCACCAUUGUGGUAGAGAUUACAGCAAUAGACAUGCCACUUCAACAUAUCUAAGUGAAAAAUUUCAGGCCAAGGUGAGGGAUGAUCCUGGGUGCAGUACUCUUGGCAUAGUAAAUGAGACAAGAAGACUAUUUAUGUUAGACAUUAGUAGGAAGAAAACUGCUAGAACAAAGCAGUAAGCAUUAGAGGCACUUAGGGAAAAUGACAUGGAUCAAUAUCACAGGUUUUGGAAUUAUGUAGCCACUGUAAAAAAGUCCAAUCUUGAUACUCAUAUUUCACUGCAGAUUGAUAGGCAAGGUGUUGAGGAAAAAGCUACAUUUCAGAGGAUAUUCUAUGGAUUAGGUGGUCUAAAGAAUGGUUUCCUAGAAGGUUACAAACCUAUAAUAGGACUAGAUGGCUAUUUCCUGAAGAGUCCCUUUGGAGGUCAGCUGCUUACAGCCAUGGGUAAGAAUGCCAAUGAAAACAUGUUUCCUAUUUCCUUUGCUAUUGUUGAGGUAGAGAACUACGACAACUGGAGCUAGUUUUUGAGAGAAUUAAUCACCCAAAUUCGAGGAGGAAACAAAGAAGUGGCUUACACUUUCAUUUCGGAUAGGCAAAAGGGUCUUGUCUAUGCAAUUGAGGAGUUGUUCCUAGAACUAGAGCACAUGCCUGAAACACAUGUUCAAGAACUUCAAACAAAGAUUCAAGAAUCAAAACCCUAGAAACAUGUUCUAGGAAGUUGCUGCAGCAGCAAGCAUGCCCGAAUAUGAUACUGCCCUAUCAAAUCUUGAAAGGGCUGACCUAAAGAAAGGUGACAAACUAACAAUUGCAGAUGGUUCAAAUGGUUACCUCUAAAGCUUUGGUCCAAAGCCCACUUUAGUACUGCUUGUAGAAGUGACAUGUGCGUCAACAACAUUAGUGAUUUUUAGAACCAAAGGGUAUCCAAAUAGGGCUAAGAAGGUUGGUAACCAAACGAGAGGGCAUGCUGAAAUACGGUAGCACUUUAUGUCCAAACAUUCACGAGAAGUUAGAGAAACUAAAGAUAAAAGCAAGAAACUGUGUCGUGGUUUAUGGAGGAAAUAGGAAUUUGGAAGUUGAUGGCUAUGGAAUGACUAAUGUCAAUUUGGAUAUGAAGACGUGUACCUGUGGCCAUUUUCAACUUAGUGGAAUUCCAUGGGUGCAUGCGGCUACUUGCAUUCAAAGCAGAAAGUUGGAAUUCGAGCAAUUUGUUGAUGCUUAUUACUAUAGGGAAGCAUAUUUAAGGGCCUAUAACUUCACAAUUGGUCUUGUUCUUUCGAAACAGUUCUAGGUGGAUAGCAAAAUGCAGUAUUUGAACCCUCUAUUGGUAAAAAAACAGCCUGGUAGGCCAAAGAAGCAGAGGAAGAAGGGUCCAAAUGAACUUACAAAUUAGCAUAAAGCAAGCAGGAAGGGUCUGGCAGUCUACUGCCGGAGGUGUUUGAAAUCUAAACAUAACAUUAGAACCUGCAAAUUAGCAAUUCACCCUAUGUCCAAGCUUUACAAGAUCAUGUAACAUUCCAGAACCAAAUCAUUUUUCUAGUUUGUUUUGUUGCUGCUUAUACAUCCAGCCAUUUCGAUGUGAACUAUAGGCACCAAAACCUGGUCUAACAACUUCAAAUGCAACAUUCGUGGCUUCUGUAGCUUAGACUAGUGUCUCAAGUACUACUGCUACUACUAUCUCACAGGUACUAGUUCUCAAUUACCUAUUUUUGGAUGCUGUGAUCUGCUUGCAUACUAAGCAGUGCCACUUAUAAGUAGGAACCAAGUUAGCCUAUAAGUGGUACCAAUCAAGAAAGCUAGAGGAGUAGAUCUUCAAAGAAGAAGCAACCAGCUACAGGAAUGUCAAGAUUGUGACAUUGUGGCUCCAAGAGACCAAGAAAAUGAACUGUAGUUAUCUCUCUUUUGUUUGUUGAAUAUACUGGUUAUGUUAAUCACAUUGAUCCCUUCUGGGAUUGAAUUGUAAUAUUUUUGAAGCUAGAAAACUCAGUUUUUGGUUAUGUUUUGGUAGAUUGAUACCAUUAUGGUAUGGAUGUGGUAAUAUACUGCCUUUUUGUGGCAGUAUUGCUGGUGACCCUUUUUGGGAUUGGAUUAUAAUAUUUAUUCAAACUAGAAAACUCAAAAUUUUGGCCUUGUUACGGUAGACUGAUACCAUUGUGGUAUGGAUGCGGCAAUAUGCUAGUGAUAUCUUUGAAAUAGACUGGUGCUAUCUUUGUUAAAAAUGAUUUAAUUUGACAAGUUCAUUGCGGUGUAAUCUCAGGUCUUUCAAUUUUUUUGUCAUGUAUUUUUUAAAUGUCCUACAACAAAACAACAUAGCUUCAUUUGUUCAUCUUAAUUAAAAUCAGAAUGUCUACUUCAUUACAUGCAAUUGAAACUAGAUGUGGCAACAUAUUGGACAUAAAAAAAUCUACUAUUGUGCCCAACUCUCUCAUCUACUACACAUUUUUUACACUAAUUUGUCCUAAACAUUCAUCUCAUACAUAUAACAACCAGUGACAAAAGAGACACAACUACAAACACCAUCAUCAUCAUCUUCAUUAGCUCCAUCAUUGCUUCGACAUUGUGAAUCUUCGACUGUAGUGUCCCAUAAUGAUGUUAUAGUUAUUACUUUCUAUCCUUUGCCCAGAGAUGAAAAAUCUUUCCACCAUUGCAGAUCCAGUUGGUGAAACUCCUUCCAUGUAUGAACUUUGGCAGGAUGAUUCAUUAGCGUCUCCCUCUCUACUAAUUGGGUUGCAUCAUGUCCAAAAUGAACAAACACCAUUUUCACAUACAAAAUACAACAUAUCUUUUGAUAGUUUUUCAGAUUCCACUAUCUUAAUCUUUACUUUAUUCUUGCAGAAACAUCAUCGAUUUUGGUAUCUUAGGUCCCUUGAUCCACCGCCAAAGUUUUGGGAGCUUGACAUUUUCAGUUUCUCCCUUGAACAAAGCUAUGUUGUGCCCUCCAAAGCUGCGCUCUUACGAUUUUUGUCUUAAUUUUGUGUCUCUUUGUCCAAUUUUUCCAUUUGCAGAACAACAACUAUGGUGGGUUUCAUUUGUAAGAGACAUGGACAGCAAAAUGGGAAUGAAAACUAGUCGCUUUCAGUCACAUGCGGCCAUUAGGUCGCAUCAAUGUCACUUGCUAGCUUCCUAGCCGGUUAGCAGGUAAAAUCCAAAGAAGUCCAAAGCAUCGGGGGAGGGUUAAGUGGUGUUUUUAAAUAAUGAGAGGGUUUCAUGUUUAUUUCCCUAACCACAGGGGGAUUUACUGUAUUUUACCCUAUUGAUAUUGGUGGUCAAACUAGAAAGAGGUGGAAUUUGGGGCAGAACCCCUCUAAGAAUUUGUGUUUCUCCCUAGUGUCUCAAGAGGAAAUCAGGUCCUGCUUGAAUUCUAACCCAGCUGGUAGACCUAGUUUGGAAGAACUAUUCAGGUGAUUUGUUUAAGGGCCUUAAGCCAUUUGAAAAGGUGGUAGGGAAAAUCUUUGAGGGGUGCGUUUUUUAUGGAAAGGGCACCUACAAACUGGUGAAAAUUCUUGGCCACUGGUUUACCAGGCCAAGUAUGAGCCCAUCAAAAGCUCUGAUCACUAUGUGGCUUCGAAGGUAAUGGAGAAGGAGAAGUGAGUUGCUCCAGCAAUCAGCUGAGAUCAGUGUGGAUGCUAAUUCCCAUCCGUGUAUCAUCGGGUUUAUAAACGAAUUGGCAAGCGGUACAAGUUAUUGUGUCUCGAUGCCCUUAUUUGAUGAGGGUUCACUGAGGCUUCUUUCAAGGAAUUGAUGACAUGAUGGUUGACCCGAGGAUUGUAUUGCCCUUGUUCGGAUGGAAACCUUAAAAGGUCUUGGUUUCCUCCAUGAAAAUCAUAUGGUUCUCAAACGUGCCAGUCCAGACCAUAUUUUUUUUCUAUAGGAAUCCUUUAUGCAUUGCUUUGGGUCAUGAUGCAACUCUGUGUCAUGCUUGGAAUUCUGACAAUGCUAAAAAUUCAGUGAUAAAUUCAACGAUUGAUGAAUUCAGUCAUGCUUAGGAAGUCUAUGAUGCUGGGGAGGCUUAUUCCUCCAAGGCUGACAUAUGGCUCCCCAGAUUAACUGCUUUGGAGUUGGCCUAUCACCGCAUCCCUGUCAAGACAAGAGCAGGCUUAAUGGCUGUUAUACAUCAAUCAAAACAAUUGUUUGCCUACAGGACUGAAGCACCGCUUGUCUAGGGAGAAACGAGACAGUUCGCCAGCAAUUUCGGUCACGUUGUCAGCCUAUGCCUCCCUGAAAAUCUAGCACAAAGACCAUUAGCUAUCCAGCUGUUGGAACAUCCAUCUUGAGAAGUUGCACUAGUCUUGAAUGUUUCGAUAAGGUGCUUUAAGUAAUAUGGCCAUUUUGAAGCUUCUCCUCCCGAGUCUGCUUGAAGUAUUUCGUGUUUUCGACUUACUGUUUUUGAUGCUUAAAGGUGUUUAAGUAAUGUGGCAAGUUUGAAAAGUUUUCCUGCCUAUGCUAAAAUGAGAAAUUUCAUAUUUUCGGUAUACUGUUUUUUGUGCUCUCAAGUUUAUCUUGCUUACUUUUUGACAUCCUUUUGUGAAAUUUAAGUACUUAGAUUUUUUUUUACUUUUGGGUUAAUUAUUGACCUUUUGAAAUUGAGAAUGCUUGGAUGUUGGUGUUAUAACAAUUUUUUUUGGGCUGCUUCUUCUCAAAUUGUUACUUGGGAGCUUUAUUUUCCCCUGAUAAGAAAGAAGAUGAGGCAUCAACAAUUACUAUCCGUGGCAAACCAACAUUUAUUUGCAACAUGUCUUAGUAUAAUGAUGGAAUAUCUUAGUGCCUUUAGAAUCAUAUUGCAUUUGGUUAUGCAGGUAAAAUUUUCACAGGAAGGGGAAAAUUAAAAGUAGAAAUGCCUUUAAUAAUCAUUUCACCAGUCAAUAAUUCCUUCAGAAUGCCAAUUGACACUGGAUGUUGAAACUUUGAAUGCAUAAAACUACUUUAUUGAGAGGCAAUUGGUGACAUUGUGUUUACUGAAGUGAUUCUUUGCAGUGCUACAGAACGAAUGAACUAGUUAUAAAACCAAACCGCAUUGAUAGCCUCUACUCGUGUCCUACCUCGUGAGAGCUAGAUUUGCUAAUGCUUUGAAAAUUAAAGUUUUUUCACAUUUUUAUCAUUUUUGGCACUGACGGGCUAUGUUAUUGCAUCUGGAUAAUCCACCUAAUUCUACCCUAAAAUUCUAUGCAGUUGUGUUUUUCUUCUUCAUCUCCUCAAAUCUUUUUUCCUUUUUCCCCCCCUUUCGUCUCUGUUUUGAACUUAUGCCUCAUGGUAUGCCUAACUUGCGACCUUGAUAAUGAUAUGGCCUAUUUCUUAAUGUCAGUUUGCUGGCGCCUUCAAGCAAUCUCAAGUUCUCAAACAUUACUAAAAUCUUUUUAUUUGCUACAAGAUCAACACUAUGUGCAAGGAAAAAGUGGAAUAGGAUCAGAGAGUUUGUCCAAAAUUGUCUUAUUUCUGCAGCUCUUUUGCGGAAUAUCCCAUUCUGCUGGAGCAGCAGACCUUUUGGCAAAAAGUGCUUGUGGCUUCAAUGUUUUGGAGCAGUUAGUCUUUCCUAGUCCUUUUUUGCAAUAUCUGCUGGAUUUGAAUUCUACUUAACAUCCUCAAGAAAGAAGGACAACUUGUAGUUUCCUCUCUAGACAUGUAUUAUUGAGGUUGACGUUAGUGUGUUUUAGUUCUUUGAUGCUUGCUAAAUUGUGUGUUCAGUGCUUUGUACGGUUGUAUGACUUUCUUCAAGCAAUCUGUGCAUUGUUGUUUUCUCAUUCAGAAAACUUGCAAUCCUUAAUAGUUGUAAGAAAUGGAUUUUCUGUCUCCUGAUUUCAAUUAAAUAUGUAUGUAUGUAUAUCUAGUCUUUCAAAAUGGAGCUUCUGAAGUAUCAGCAUAUUUUACACUUGCAGACACUAAUUCUGGAAAAACUAGAGAUAAAUAUAUAGCGAGUCAGGAUUUGUUGUUUUUUCUUUCAUCCUUGUAGUCACUGUGCUGACAACUUCCAAAGUCUCAUGAAGAGCUUAUUGUUUCCUAAAUUAUCCAUUAUGUUUGACAAUUGGCAGUAGUUCAACUUGAGGAUAUGCUGGCUUCUAGCCACUCUGGUAUCUUCAGUGCUUUAGUCUAGAUAUAUAUUGAACUCUUGCUAACAUCCUGUAUAGCAACUUGUUAUAGCUUCAACUUGAUCCAUUUUUUUGACAUGCUGGCUUUCAGUGCAUGGAAACUUGAAUUUACUUGGUCUAAUUUUAUCAAAAGUUUGUCAGAGAAGUUUGUUUUGAGUAUCUUUUUAGUUGAUAUAGAAGACGUGCUAUGUUGAUGAAUGCACAUAAUCAGUUGCAUCGCUCGUAAAGAGCAUGCUUGGAGCAGGCUGAUGACUCCUGUUAGAAGUUUUUGGAACUAUAUAGAGUACAUACCUCAAAUAUGAUACUUGAUAUGUGCCCUCUUAAAGCUGUGAAGUCCUUGAAUGUUCCGUCUUCUGUGAAAGAUGUAUAUAUCAACAUCAUAAUAUCUUGACCAUGGUUCGAAGUCUCGGCCGAGACCGAGACGACUCGGCCGAGUCGUCACCGUCUCGGCCCCCACUGAUACGAUACCAUGACGAAACGAUACCGAGAUACUUGACUCGCCGAAAAAUCGGCCGAGACGUCACCGCGACGGAUUGACUCGGCCGAGUCACACCGAGUCACUCCGAGUUAUCCCGAGUCAAGAUGAGAAAUCAGUCGAGUUACACCGUGACGGAUUGACUCGGCCAUUUCUUUUGCUAUUUUUUAUUAUUUUUGUUUAGCAUACUAUUUUUAUAUUAUUAACAAUUUUUAGAAUAUUAAAUACUUUAAAAUUUGCGUUUCACCGAAACCGCAACCGAUAUGCCGAAACCGAUGUGGAACGUUCCGGGCCGCGACCGUGACCGUGACCGCGACUUUGAACCACGAUCUUGACUGUAGGUUAGCAUCUGGACUGUAGAUCUUGUAAGGUCCAAUCAUAGAAGAAGUGGUUUAUCACCUCGAUGAAGAUUUGGUCUUUAUAGCUAGUACCUUACACAACCCAAGGAGAAAGCCCAAUGGAAAAUCAUAGGGUUUUACCUAUAAAAACCUAAGUGUUGACAGUGACUGGAGAAAUGUAGCGUUCACUGUAAGUGUUACUUUUCUACCAGGAGAUGCCUGAUAAUGUGCAUUACUGACUUUGAGUGUGUUAUAUGUGCAUUUAUGAAUGUACACAUAAAAUUCCUUUAUUGUGUCAAAUAGUUCUUUAGCUACAAUUUCAGUGAGAAUCCCCUCCCAGACUUGGUGCAGAUGUUGUACAUUUCUUUCUGUGCAUGAUAUAUUUGGUUCAUUAAACUGCAAGACAUCUUAAUGUUUUUUGGCUUCUGAACUCGCAAUAAAUUGGCGUUAUGGUAACGAAUGGUUUAUGAAUCUAUUCAAAUUAAUCAGCAUGUUUUGUUGUGGCUCACAUUCAUAAUUCAACAAGAUACCACUAGGGGUGUCCUGGCAUGUAGCUCACACCAUCAGGGUGACACAGCCGAGCAUUAUUUCUCAAAUUUUGUAGUUAAUGCGAGACUGCUCAAUCUCAAAUGGUUCAAUAUAAUUGAGCAUAAUAUUAAUGUGUGGAAUGGUAUGAUGAAAGUGGUUACUUAGAUUUGUAUUUUUGACUAGUGCACUUUAAGUUUUCAGUCUAUACCUUUUGCUUAUGCUUACAAUUUUCUUCCAGCUUCACAAUGUUCUGACUUCUGGACCUUUACGUUUCUAAAUGUUUAACCAAAAACUGAUGCAUAGAUUGAACUCUUUUUCCUAAUCCUCUUGUUCCACCGUGUAUUUUAGAUCCUUGCACUAAUUCAUAUUUUGCAAGAUCUCUACAUAUUCUUUGCUUAGAAUUUUUUUCUUCCUGAAGCUCAAAAGUUUUGGACAUGAUUUGGUAGGUCAAUGGAUGCAACAUAAAUGAACACUGUAUUACACAGGAAGACAUCCCCAAGGCGUUCCGCCCUGGAAAUUCAAAGAUGUCUCCUUGAGUGAGAUUCACAUUAAAGGCAUCGAACACUGUUCCCCUUUCAUGUGACCAGUCGUAGCAUCCAUGGGAAGGCAUUGGGAGAAUGCAGAACUGACAAAAAUAUCAAGCAAAAGACUAACAUUAUUGUAGGAAGCCAUGUUGUGAAUUUGCUAGAGGGUAGCCAAAAGUGCUUAUUAGCUUCCUGGUUGCUAGGAAUUAGGUAAGUUGGUAUAUUUACAGAAGCCCCUUAUGCACGGCGUUGGGGCAACUUUUCAAAUAUGGCUGCCAAUUAACGGAGGUUGUGUUGGAUGCAUUGAUUGUAUCUCGUUACAUAUUUGUUUGGCAUGUGCUUAAUGUCGUGCAAGUUAUCAAAUAAGCAGUCGAUUGACACUUUUUUCUUCAUUUAGCUAAGUCUGUAUCUCAUUGCAUCAUGAUUUAAAAUGACACUUGAUCCUUCAUUUGGAUUGAGUCGAUCGUGAGAUUUAACUCCUUUUUGAAUUUGAAGCUGUCAAUUCUCUAGUUUGCCAUUCUUGAUCAGAAAAAGUAAUAUGAUGAUAUGAAAUAUAACCAGUUGCAUCACUUACGUGGUCAUUAACUCUGACUUUUUUGUCUCAACACUGGUUAAGUCGAGCAAGUAAACUCAAUUGCUAAGAAGUCGCAUGCAUUUAUCUGAUAAAAUUGAAGAUGACAGCUUCGAUCUUUUCUUAUUGUUUUCUGUAGUAAAUUAUACUUCUUUUUAGUUUUAUAAUUUUGAAGAAUACUGUUUAUAAUUAUGUUUACAAUUAUAUUUCUUCAAAAAACUCAAUAGCGCCAGAAACUAAUUAGGAAAAUUCAAUGGGCUUGCAAUGCUUCAGUUUUUCUUCUUGUUUUUGGUUGAAACAUAAAGCAUUCUACUUGAGUUGUGUGAUUUUAUCUUAGGUUUUGGGGUUGAGGGAUAAAAGAGGAAGACUAUUAUAUUUUGGUUUUAAAAAACUUUGUAAACUAAUAGCUACUUGUGUGUAUAUUAUGGCAUCAUUUACAAGAAGUUUUGUGUUAAUACAGUAACAGUAGUAGUAUGCAACUUGCUUAGAUUAAAGCUGGCAAUAGUUCGGUAGAGAACUAAGAUAGUUGCUAAUCUGGAUUUUUAUUAAUUUCAAUGCAAUUGUUCAGUUUUGUUGGUACACUUGCACCAUUAAGAUUAAGUUAAUUUAGUAUUCCUACUUUUCAUGAUUUACUUGUGAAAAGUCAUUCAAAAUAGAAAAUAUGAAACCAUAUAUCAAAUUUCAAGAAUCAUAAGAAUCACAAGGAUUGCCCAAAUUAACAUUUGAGCUAACCUUUACUAAGUUGAUGAACCAUAGAAAAUUAAUUGUAACUUGUUUUUUUUUUGGAUUAAUUUUUCUUACACUAUCCGUGUAUAUACUUACAAACCUAUAUACAUGUCGCAUUAUUUCAAUUUGAAUUUAAAUACUGAAUUUUUGUAUACGUGACCUGCAUCUAAAUGCGUUAAUGUAUACAUUCAUCUAAAUGCAUUAAUGUAUACAUUGACCAUGCGUAAAAGAUGUUAAUGUACAAACGGACAAUUUAUAAAUAUUCCUAUACUUGUCAAGCAUUUACAAUGAUAUAAUGACAGUACUUAUCAGUUUACAAUGAGAUAAGAUACGUUGAAUUUGAACGAAUCUAAAUUAGUAAGUAAUCUAAUCCAAAUCUGAAUUGACCACUAAUUUGAAAAUUCAAAAGAUAUUUACAAAUGUCUUUAACUCAGUCCAACAAGAGUACGGUAGAGCAAAUAGAAUGGUGGAAUGAUCCACCUGAUUUUGAACCACUAAACUUGCUGGAUAAUUCAUUUGCAAGUUGAUGCAUCAAAUCCUGCUUUGAUGUCAUAAAGAAACCAAGAAAAGAAAAAAGGUUCAAUAGCAGUAUAGCACUCGUGGGAUUGCUGUUUGAAAUUUAAGUUAGAUUAGUAUUGCAAUUGUCAAAAGUCAAUUUGGGUAGCAAAACCUCAGAGGAAAUGAUUUCGUGUCCUUUUUUGUUUGUUCCAAAUUAAUCUUAAACGAGAGGUUCUGUUGUUAACUUGUUAAGGAUGUGAUCAUGCAUCGUGGCUCCAUAGUCAUCUAGAGGAAGAAGUGAUACAAAUUAUCAAAAGGGGUAAUUAAAAUUCAAGCUUUUUCUUGUGUUUCAGGCUUUGAAAAUUUUACCCUAAUGAUAAUAAUUAGGCAAUAAGAAAAGCUAAUACAGUAAUUAACAGCAAAGUCAAAUGCUGUAACGUGCUUUAUUGGCAACCCUUUGGAUUUUAUCAGUUCAAAACCAAUUACAUUUGGCAUGACAGGAUUUGUAUACUAGUUCUUAAUUUAUACACCCUCAAUUAUGGCCAAAGAAGAAAAAGGUGUACACUUCAAUAUUUGGUCAAAAAAUGGCCAACCUUAGUAAUUGCUAAAUGCCAACAGCCUCUUGGGUUGUUGGUACCACCGUCUUGAUGGGAUGAACCCUUGUCUUCCACCGUGCCACUUAAUUAUGGCUGUCACUUAAUUGAGCUUCCUCCGAUGGGAAAAUCCUGACAAAAAAAAGAGUAAUUGCUAAAUGUCUAAACUAGAUGUGCCUCUGAAUUUUUGUUCUUCAAAUAUUUCUGCUGAAUCAGAUAUUCAAUGCAAAAAAUCACCCAUCAAGAUCAUCUUUAAAUACAUCCCCCAUAUUUGAUCUCUUGCAAACAUACUUCUUUUAAUAUAAAUUUUAGUAACUAACUACAAAAAAGUAUCCUUUGUCUGCCCUAGCCGAAAAAACACAUAGUCUCCUUAAAUGUUAUUAUCAACCUGAUUAAACAAUUAUUUUUGUAUUUAAAUAAUUUCCUUAUUCAAGAUUUAUAGGUUUUAUAUAUUUCAGCCAUAAAAUAGGUAUUGAUGAUUUCAGAAAUUUGAAGUUUCUCAUAAUAUCACUUAACACCUCUAAAGUUUAAAAUAUUUUCAUAAAUUAUUAUUGCUAAUUUAUUAUAAGUUUUACAUUAAACUUGAAAGUUCGUGCAUAUACUCUCAUAGCUUAUAGGUUUUGAGCGUCGAGCACUUUUGAAAGAAAGGAUUGCUUUACAGGUACGUAAUCCAAAAACAAUAGGAUUUGAAACUUAGAAAGUUGAUAAGAAGGUAUUAUAUAAUUAUAAGGUACCUGUCAUGGUGCGAUACGUUGCUCUACUGUCCAUCAUGUUCAACCAAAUAAAUAAAGUAAUUCUAUCAUGUUUAGCAAGGGCGGAACUAAGGCGAUGGGGAGUGGCCUCGUCCCCCAAGUUUUAUAAAAUUUAAUUUUUUUCCUGUAAAAUUAAAAUUUAUAAAAAUACUUUUUAUAAAUUUAAGCUCUCACCCUUGCAAAAACCUAAAACAUUUUAGUUUACAUGUUAAAGUUUAGGUAUCCUAAAGGUUGCCCCCUCAAAUUAUAUUUUCUGGUUUUGUCUAUAACGUUUAGUACCUACUAGACAAAUUAAUAAUUCUAUUUUUUCAUUGUCAAACCACCUAUCUCAAAAUUAACAAAAUAAAAACUCUUUCACUUUCACUCAUGUGGACCACAUUGAAUAUAUUCCGUCAUAAAGAAGGCAUGAGGGUCGUCCACAAGUGCAGGUCCAAUUGUACAUCUGCAAUACACGACAUGGAAUGUACCUAUCUUUGAAUUCCAUAACCGUAGUUAGAUUUUAUAAAACAAAUCUUCGAUAAGAAGAAAAUCAUGUGUACACGCACAUGUGUAAAGAAGUGAUAAACCAUUGGAGUUUACCUAGUGAUCAAGAGAAUACUCUUAGAAUCUUUUUCCACUGUCAAGUUCAGGAUUCAAAUUUCAUGCUUGGUAGUUGGAGGUAGGAAGUAUGUAAAGAAGUGAUAUAUUUUGAUAAUAGGUACUGUGGAUUUUGAUUGCAAGUUAUUCAAGAAAAACUUUUAGAAUAUUUCCUAGACAUGUUUCUCAUUUACCUGUUUACAUUGUAUAGAUUACAUCACUAAAAUGUAUUUUUCUACAAAUUCUCCCAUCCAAAUAGAUCCAGUUCUUGAUUUUUUCAAAACUAAACAAAAAUUUGUAUUGCUCAGAAUCGAUGAUGGAAGAAGCUUGAGUAAUAGAAGAACAAGUGGAGAAUGGAAACAAGGGUAGAAAUGAAAGUUUGAACAUCAUUGAAUGGUCAUAGACUGAAAGCUGUCGUGGCUUAAAUUUGAAGUCCCGGGAGGGGAAAGGAGAAUUUGAAGUUCAUGAAUUGAGAUCUUGAUUUCAAAUCUCUCUAUUUUUCCCGCUUUUACGGCCCCACAAAUUUUCCCUGCUGAAGAAAAAAAGAGAGGGGAUUAGUGUUUGUAAGCCUAAACAUUUAUUAUGCUUGUCUUCAAGCACUUUGAUAUAUAUGAACAUCGUACUCAACGAUUGCCAUCGAAGAUUCCCCUCAGCCAAUAAGUACAGAAAUGAGUGAUCGUCUUUUUCUGCGUUUUAGGUGCCUUUCUAUUUCCAUUUCCCACUCGGCCAAUAAGAAUAGAAAUGAGUGAUCAUCUUUUUCAGAGCUUUAGUUGCCUUUUGAUUUCCUUCCACGAUAGUUGGGACCUCUUGGCUACAACCUUACAAAGGAACCUUGUGAAGGGGAAGAAAAAAACAGGAAAGGAACCUUGUGAAGCCCUAGUCGUUUCUGCUACUGCUUUUAUUCUCGCACGAUAUUUAUUCUCUUGGUCGAGAACGUAGCAAUAGAUACUGUUCAAUUAUGUCUCAGCAUAAGAGGAUAAUUUUAGAAACCUCCUCUAAGGUUUCUGACAAUUUUAUUUAGCACCCUCAAAUUUUAAAAAUUUUCACUUGUCUCUCUAACUAUAAGUUUUUUUGUAUCAUUUACGACCAUUUUAAAAUAUAAUAUUAAAAAUUUAUUUUGGGGUGAGAGAAUACAAUUUCAUUCCAAACUUGCCCAUUUUCUUGUGAUUUCUUGAUUGUCAAAAUACACCAAAUUUUUUCUCUUAAUUUUUGUAAAUUGAUCGAUAAAAAUUUAAAAAUUGAUAACAAUAUCAGAAAAUUCUUUAAUAGUUUUUGCAUCAUUGUUUUGAACAAGAAAUGUUAAAUUACUUAAAAUUAUGAAUAAUUUACAAUACUCUUAAAAAUAACUUGAAAUAAUUUACAGUCACAAUAUUACAACCAUAAUAAUACCAUUUUGUACUAGCUUAAAAAUAAUACAAACAAAUUUUAUAUAUAAGUUUUAGCAUCUUGUAUCUUUUAGUUUUUAAACCAUCAAUUUAGAAAAAAAAAUUAGAAAAUUGAAAAAAAUGUAAAUGAUUUAUGAAACUUCUUAAAUUUACUCAAAACACUUUACAAUAAAAAAAUACACUAUGGGCCCGUUUGGAAUGUGAGUUUUUUGGGUGUUUGUAUAAAAUUUUAGUGUAAAUCACUGUAGAAGUUGUAGAAAAACUUUGUAAGAUGAAAUUUUUUUUCCUUUUCAUUUUCUUUCUUUUUUUUCUUUUUUCUUUUUUUCUUUUUUUUCUUUUUUUUCUUUUUUUUCUUUUUUUUCUUUUUUCUUUUUUUUCUUUCUUUCUUUUUUCUUUUCCUUCCUCCCUUUCCACUUUUUUUCUCUUCCCCUCUGCCUCCCCCGCCACCCCUCCCCUCCCCCUCUCCUCCUCUCCCCUGGCAGUCAAAUUGGAUUAUGAUCACGAUGGAAGAUUAGAAUUAAAAAGAAAGAAAGGAAUAAGAAAUGAUGAUCCCAGCUCCAGGGACAAAAAAGUGAGGGAAGAUUAGUUUGCGGUCAGAGGAAGAAGGAAAUGGGUCCCCAUGCUUUCGCCGGUUUUCGCCGCAUCCGUACUUACGCUCCCCCACCGGCCCACCGCCCGACUGCCAGUGCUUCAGUCAUGUGCACGCGCAACUCCCUUUUUUCUCCUUGGAACUGCCCACCCAUUGUCGCUUCUUUAGGUGGACAUCCCCAUUAAUUCCUUCUACUGCUCUUGCUCUUUAUAUUUUGCCCAUUCCACCCUCCCCCUCCAGAUCGCAGCCCCUCUCCCUCCCCCACUUUCCGAUCUGGUCAUGCGGUUGCGAUCUGGUCGCGCGACCAGAUCGCUGCUAGCGAGAGGGGGAGGGUGCCGGGGGAGGCCGAGGCGAAGAGGGGAAGAGGAGGGAGAAAGAAAAAAAAAAAGAAAAAAAGAAAAAGAGCACCAACAGAUCGGUUAAAGGGGAGGGGAGAGGGGGUAAGGGAGAGAAAAAAAAAAAGUUUGGCCGGAACUGGCCGCCGGAAUAGUGAUUGGCACCGGAAGUGGUGGUGGUGGUGGCCGCCGGCGACGGAGUAUGUGGUGGGUUGGGUUGGGGAGGAAAAAGAAGAAAAGUUGAAGGGAAAGUUUUUUUGUGUAUUUUUGAAGUGUGUAGGUUAAAAACUUUGAUAAGUUUUUUGGGUUCCUGUAGCAAAAGUUGUUAAAAAACUAGUAUUAUAUAAACUUGGUAAAAACUUGAGGUUCCAAACAGGCCCUAUAUUCUGUACAAUAAGAAUAAGUCUUCAAACUUUUUGUUUUUAUUUGUUAUUAAUAUACUCAAGUUUUUGUAAUAAAAAAUAAGAUAAUAAAACUGCAAAUUUGGAACGAGAUUAUAUUUACUCUCUCAAAAUGAAUUUUUUAAUAUUAUAUUUUCAAAUGGAUUGUAAAUGAUACAAAAAAAAUUUAAAGUAAGAGAGGCAAGUGAGAUUUUUCAAAAUUCAAAGGUGCUAAGUGAAAUUGUCAAGGUUUCUAAAAUUAUCCCCAAUAUUAAUAAGGAAUACUUGGUACUGCAAAAGAAGCAAUUAAGUAUACCUUUUAUGCAAUUAACCUACAGCAGUUUUGUUUUUUUUUUUUUUUUUGUGCCUUGAAUUUUCUUUUUUUUAUAAUCAACAGAGAUAUCCACAUUUUCUUGAAAACCUUGAAGCCAUUUCAAUGCAUAUGGUGGAUGAGAAAGGAUACACCAAUUGGUUCAGUGAUACAAUAGUAUGUACCUACAGUUGUCAACAGACAUACAAUUGGUUCGGAUUAACUCUACUUGCACUUUUAAACUUGUAUCACUUUUUCACUUUGCACCAUGAACUUCAAUUUUGAACACUUUACACCCUAAACUCUUAAUUUCAAGCACUUUGUACCCUAAAUUCUUAAAUUUAUUUCAUUUAAUUUCAAUCAAUUAUUAUAUUCAUAAAAUUAAUGAGAUAAAGGGAGGUAAAAAUUAAUGUCAAUGUACUUUUGUUAUUAUAUUCUUAAAUUUGUUAUUGUAGUUUAUCAUGAUUUUCUUCAGGAAAAGACUUAAACCCACCUGCAAAGACUUAAACCCCACCUGCACUAGGGUACAACAAACAAAGGUGAGUUGGAUAUACUUCCGUAUGACUUCAGAACUCAUUUACACAAUGCGAUUUUGAUGCAGCAAUAAGAAAUUAUAUCAAACUUGAAAUCAGUCAUCAUUUGGGGUUCUAUAAAUACCAUCAUCCCUGUCAGUUAUGGACACAUUCCUGCCUAGCUACUUUUAGUUUCAGCCAAACUACAUAUUCAUACCUAGCUCAACUGAAAUUAAAGUUUCCAUGGCAUACCAGAGCGCCUACAAUAUGAAUUACCAGAUACUACUAUGCUUGAUACUCUUCUCCCUAGUCCUUCUCCUGCCACUGCCAUCCCAUUCUGCUGAUCCAAGCCCAUUGCAAGAUUUCUGCGUUGCAGAUCUUGAUUCCUCUUUAUACAUUAAUGGCUUUCCGUGCAAAAACCCUGAUAACGUAUCUUCACAAGACUUCUUCGCCAAUGGGUUCCAACAAAGUCCAGGAGAAUUCAAUAUUUUUGACGUCAAUGUCACUCGUCAAGAUGUGCAUCGAUUUCCAGGACUCAACACUCUAGGGCUGUCAAUGAACCGAGUGGUUUUGAAGCCUGGAGGGCUGAAUGCACCCCACGUCCACCCUCUUGCAUCCGAGCUGGCUCUAGUCAUGGAUGGAAAAAUAUUUGUAGGCUGGGUGACAACCGGAAACGUUUUCUACUGGAAAAUUUUGACUUCAGG
rnacentral:lncRNA from 1 species